UUUAACUUUGAAGUAUUUAAUACGUUUGAUUUCCAAUCAAUUGAUAUCAAGUUAUAA
rnacentral:tRNA from 1 species